rnacentral:rRNA from 1 species
GCUCAAAUUUGAAAUCUUAAAGGGUUUCCCUUUACGAAUUGUAGUUUAAAGAAGUGUUUUCUGUUGAGGUUUUGGUAAAAGUUCUUUGGAAUAGGACAUCGUAGAGGGUGAGAAUCCCGUAUUUGACCUUUACUUUCAACUUUGUGAUACACUUUCAAAGAGUCGGAUUGUUUGGGAAUGCAGUCCAAAAUGGGUGGUAAAUUUCAUCUAAAGCUAAAUAUUGGCGAGAGACCGAUAGCGAACAAGUACCGUGAGGGAAAGAUGAAAAGAACUUUGAAAAGAGAGUUAAACAGUACGUGAAAUUGUCAAAAGGGAAGCGUUUGACACCAGUGUUGUUUUUCUGAAAAUCAAUUAAAGAACUGUUUAUGCUAAGUUGUUUAGACUUUAUCAGCUAUCUGUUUAGUUUUGAGCUUUUCUUUAAUGCACUUUUCGGUUAACAAG